GUCGAACGGAUCCUUCGGGAUUNGUGGCAGACGGGUGAGUAACGCGUGGGAAGCUACCUUGUGGUAGGGGACAACAGUUGGAAACGACUGCUAAUACCCUAUGAGCCCUAUGGGGGAAAGAUUUAUCGCCAUGAGAUGUGCCCGCGUUAGAUUAGCUAGUUGGUAAGGUAAUGGCUUACCAAGGCGACGAUCUAUAGCUGGUCUGAGAGGAUGAUCAGCCACACUGGGACUGAGACACGGCCCAGACUCCUACGGGAGGCAGCAGUGGGGAAUAUUGGACAAUGGGGGCAACCCUGAUCCAGCCAUGCCGCGUGUGUGAUGACGGCCUUAGGGUUGUAAAGCACUUUCAGCAGUGAAGAUAAUGACAUUAACUGCAGAAGAAGCCCCGGCUAACUUCGUGCCAGCAGCCGCGGUAAUACGAAGGGGGCUAGCGUUGUUCGGAAUCACUGGGCGUAAAGAGUACGUAGGCGGACUGAUAAGUUAGGGGUGAAAUCCCAAGGCUCAACCUUGGAACUGCCUUUGAUACUGUCAGUCUUGA
rnacentral:rRNA from 1 species